AUUGAACGCUGGCGGCAUGCCUUACACAUGCAAGUCGAACGGUAACAGGUUAAGCUGACGAGUGGCGAACGGGUGAGUAAUGUAUCGGAACGUGCCCAGUCGUGGGGGAUAACUGCUCGAAAGAGCAGCUAAUACCGCAUACGACCUGAGGGUGAAAGCGGGGGAUCGCAAGACCUCGCGCGAUUGGAGCGGCCGAUAUCAGAUUGGGUAGUUGGUGGGGUAAAGGCCCACCAAGCCGACGAUCUGUAGCUGGUCUGAGAGGACGACCAGCCACACUGGGACUGAGACACGGCCCAGACUCCUACGGGAGGCAGCAGUGGGGAAUUUUGGACAAUGGGCGCAAGCCUGAUCCAGCCAUGCCGCGUGCGGGAAGAAGGCCUUCGGGUUGUAAACCGCUUUUGUCAGGGAAGAAAAGGUUCUGGCUAAUACCUGGGACUCAUGACGGUACCUGAAGAAUAAGCACCGGCUAACUACGUGCCAGCAGCCGCAGUAACAC
rnacentral:rRNA from 1 species